AAGCGUUUAGUUCAUGUUUAAAAUAGUUCGAAUUUUAAUUUUCUUAAAGAUAAUAUUUAAAUCAUAUUGAAAUUGAGAUUCUGCACAAUGGGUCAUUUAUUAGUUUUAUUUUUCUGUGUCUGUGUUUUUAACAUCUAUCCAACAAACGCCAAUGUAUUCAAUAGACCAAAUGUUGUGGCAUUUGUAGUAAAAUUAACACCAACAUUUUUUGCUGAUUAUUCGGAUAAAUUGCGAGAGAUUAAGAGCGCUAUUUCUGAAUGUGCUGAAUCGGUUGAAAAGAUAAAGCCGGUGAGAACGAGACUUGAUGUUAUUAUGCAAAGUUCUUUAAAAGUUGCAGCAGACUGUCGCAAGUGGGGGAGCUUAGGCUGUAGCGACGAAGCAAAUUCAAUAAUGGAAACUAUUAAUGCGCUGACUAUCGAUGGCGUAUUUGACACAUUUGAUUAUUCAAACCCUAAGCCAUGUAUGGAGAAAGUGUUGCACAUGUUGAGAAGGACAUACAAUGAUGCCAGAUUGGUUUUUAAAAAGUUCUCGGAACAUAAGAGAUAAUGACUUGAAGCACUACAUCUAUUAUAUUAUAUUAUUUGAGUUCAAUAAAAUGCUGCAAAUCAAA